UUUAGUUUGAGCCCCCGAAACUAAGUGAGCUACUUCGGAAUAGUACCAAGAACAAACCCGUCUCUGUUGCAAAAGAGUGGGAUAAUUCCUAAGUAGAGGCGACAAACCUACCGCACCUAGAGAUAGCUGGUUAUUCAAGAAAAGAAUUUAAGUUCAACCUUAAGUUUAUACAUUAAACAAAAAAUACAAAACUUUAGAGCUAUUCAAAUAAGGCACAGCUUAUUUGAAACAGAAUACAACCUACAACACAGGGUAAAAUAUAACAAACAAGUAACAAGUGGGCCUAAAAGCAGCCACCUUUAAAAAAGCGUCAAAGCUUAAUAUCUACUUUAUUCUAAUUCCUCCCCCCUUCACUAACCCUUCACCCAUAUUGAGUAACUCCAUAAAUUUAUGGAAAUUAUUAUGCUAGAACUAGUAACAAGAAAUAGAUUUUCUCCUAAAUGUAAGCUUAAGCCACAAUAGACAAACUAUUGGCAAUUAACAUAAAUGAACAUUUUACAGCAACCCCAACAAGAAAACCCUGUAUUCAACAACGUUACCCUUACACCAGAACAUUUAAGGAAAGAUUAAAAGAAAAAGAAGGAACUC
rnacentral:rRNA from 1 species